GGGGCACUAGAAGCCAGAGGCAGAGUGGUCAUGGCUAUCCCUUACUGAGUCCUGGCUUGACUAGGCCCAGAUACAUCUUCCAAAGUCAGUGAAUCUUUCCCAGCCUCCGUGGGUGCCCAGGACAAGACCAGCCAGCCCAAGGCGCCUGCUCAAAUGCCCCACAAAAUCAAGAUAUGUAUUCUCAGCUGUCUGUACAGCCAUACCUUUGCCCCACCAUUAUGGACUCCAGCCCUCUGAAACUGACUCCAACGUAGACUGAAGACCAAAACUCUCCAGGGAUCCUCCAGGACUUCAGUGCCACUUUGGAACUACUGAGACAUCCAGCCUCAUGGACUGAACAUUGGAUUCUUGGCCUUCCCAACAUGAAACAACCAUUAUUGGACUACUCUGGCCUCAGCCUGGAAGUAAUUCUAAUAAA